ACUCAAAUGAAUUGACGGGGGCCCGCACAAGCGGUGGAGCAUGCGGUUUAAUUCGAUGCUACGCGAAAAACCUUACCAACCCUUGACAUGGUGAUUAAAGGAACCAGAGAUGGUUCUGUCAGUUCGGCUGGAUCACACACAGGUGUUGCAUGGCUGUCGUCAGCUCGUGUCGUGAGAUGUUGGGUUAAGUCCCGCAACGAGCGCAACCCUCAUCCUUAUUUACCAGCGAGUUAUGUCGGGGACUAUAAGGAAACUGCCAGCGAUAAGCUGGAGGAAGGUGGGGAUGAUGUCAAGUCAUCAUGGCCCUUACGGGUUGGGCUACACGCGUGCUACAAUGGCAGUGACAAAGAGAAGCGAAGGAGCGAUCUGGAGCAAAUCUCAUAAAAGCUGUCUCAGUUCGGAUUGCACUCUGCAACUCGAGUGCAUGAAGUCGGAAUCGCUAGUAAUCGCGGAUCAGCACGCCGCGGUGAAUACGUUCACGGGCCUUGUACACACCGCCCGU
rnacentral:rRNA from 1 species